rnacentral:rRNA from 1 species
GACGAACGCUGGCGGCGCGCUUAACACAUGCAAGUCGAACGGAAAGGCCUGCUUUCCCUUGUGGAUUGCGGGUACUCGAGUGGCGAACGGGUGAGUAACACGUGAGUGAUCUGCCCCCAACUUGGGUAUAAGCCUGGGAAACUGGGUCUAAUUCCCGAUAGGACUGCAGGGUGGUGCCUGUGGUGGAAAACGAUUUUCUAGUGGUUGUGGAUGAGCUCGCGGCCUAUCAGCUUGUUGGUGGGGUAAUGGCCUACCAAGGCGGCGACGGGUAGCCGGCCUGAGAGGGUGGACGGCCACAUUGGGACUGAGAUACGGCCCAGACUCCUACGGGAGGCAGCAGUGGGGAAUAUUGCACAAUGGGCGGAAGCCUGAUGCAGCGACGCCGCGUGGGGGAUGACGGCCUUCGGGUUGUAAACUCCUUUCGACCGCGAGGAAGCCACCUGGUUGGAAGGGUGGUGACGGUAGUGGUAGAAGAAGCACCGGCUAACUACGUG